ACGGCCAUACCAUGCUGAAUAUACCGGUUCUCGUUAGAUCACCGAAGUCAAGCGGUCAGUACUUGGGUGAGUGACCACCCGGGAACACCGCGUGCCGUU